CUCGGAAUAGCUCAGUGGUAGAGUAGAGGACUGUAAAUCCUUUGGUCGUCGGUUCGAAUCCGGCUUUCGAGA
rnacentral:tRNA from 1 species